UACGUAGGGGGCAAGCGUUAUCCGGAUUUAUUGGGUUUAAAGGGUGCGUAGGCGGACGCUUAAGUCAGCGGUAAAAUUGCGGGGCUCAGCCUCGUCGAGCCGUUGAAACUGGGCGUCUUGAGUGGGCGAGAAGUACGCGGAAUGCGUGGUGUAGCGGUGAAAUGCAUAGAUAUCACGCAGAACUCCGAUUGCGAAGGCAGCGUACCGGCGCCCAACUGACGCUGAAGCACGAAGGCGUGGGUAUCGAACAGG
rnacentral:rRNA from 1 species